rnacentral:rRNA from 1 species
UACGGAGGGAACUAGCGUUGUUCGGAUUUACUGGGCGUAAAGGGCGCGUAGGCGGUCUGUUAAGUUAGAAGUGAAAGCCUGGGGCUUAACCCCAGAACUGCUUCUAAAACUGGCAAACUAGAGUGCGGGAGAGGAUAGUGGAAUUCCUAGUGUAGAGGUGAAAUUCUUAGAUAUUAGGAGGAACACCGGUGGCGAAAGCGACUAUCUGGAACGCAACUGACGCUGAGGCGCGAAAGCGUGGGGAGCAAACAGG